rnacentral:tRNA from 1 species
CGGUAGCUCAAUGGUAGAGCAGUUGACUCUUAAUCAAUUGGUUGGGGGUUCGAGUCCCUCCCG